rnacentral:rRNA from 1 species
AUUGCCCUAGUAACGGCGAGUGAAGCGGCAACAGCUCAAAUUUGAAAUCUGGCUCUCGGGCCCGAGUUGUAAUUUGUAGAGGAUACUUUUGAUGCGGUGCCUUCCGAGUUCCCUGGAACGGGACGCCAUAGAGGGUGAGAGCCCCGUCUGGUUGGAUGCCAAAUCUCUGUAAAGUUCCUUCAACGAGUCGAGUAGUUUGGGAAUGCUGCUCUAAAUGGGAGGUAUAUGUCUUCUAAAGCUAAAUACCGGCCAGAGACCGAUAGCGCACAAGUAGAGUGAUCGAAAGAUGAAAAGCACUUUGAAAAGAGAGUUAAAAAGUACGUGAAAUUGUUGAAAGGGAAGCGUUUAUGACCAGACUUGGGCUUGGUUAAUCAUCUGGGGUUCUCCCCAGUGCACUUUUCCAGUCCAGGCCAGCAUCAGUUUUCCCCGGGGGAUAAAGGCGGCGGGAAUGUGGCUCUCUUCGGGGAGUGUUAUAGCCCACCGUGUAAUACCCUGGGGGGGACUGAGGUUCGCGCAUCUGCAAGGAUGCUGGCGUAAUGGUCAUCAACGACCCGUCUUGAAACACGGACC